GAAAGAUCUCCCAUGCUCAUGGAUUGGCAGGAUUAAUUUAGUAAAAAUGGCCAUUUUACCAAAAGCAAUCUACAGAUUCAAUGCAAUCCCCAUCAAAAUACCAAUCCAAUUCUUCAAAGAGUUAGGCAGAACAAUUUGCAAAUUCAUCUGGAAUAACAAAAAACCCAGGAUAGCUAAAGCUAUCCUCAACAAUAAAAGGACUUCAGGGGGAAUCACUAUCCCUGAACUCAAGCAGUAUUACAGAGCAAUAGUGAUAAAAACUGCAUGGUAUUGGUACAGAGACAGACAGAUAGACCAAUGGAAUAGAAUUGAAGACCCAGAAAUG
rnacentral:lncRNA from 1 species